GGGGAUUUAGCUCAGAGGUAGAGCGCUUGCCUAGCAAGCGCAAGGCCCUGGGUUCGAUCCCCAGCUCUG
rfam:Rattus norvegicus chromosome 7, whole genome shotgun sequence.